CGGAGAGAUGGCCGAGUGGUUGAUAGCCCCGGUCUUGAAAACCGGUAUAGUUCGAAACAAAGAACUAUCGAGGGUUCGAAUCCCUCUCUCUCCUUUUCUCGGCGAAUAGAUUUGUUGCG
rnacentral:sRNA from 1 species